rnacentral:rRNA from 1 species
CUUAAAGGAAUUGACGGGGACCCGCACAAGCGGUGGAUGAUGUGGUUUAAUUCGAUGCAACGCGAAAAACCUUACCCACCUUUGACAUGUACGGAACCCUUUGGAGACAGAGGGGUGCUCGAAAGAGAGCCGUAACACAGGUGCUGCAUGGCUGUCGUCAGCUCGUGUCGUGAGAUGUUGGGUUAAGUCCCGCAACGAGCGCAACCCUUGUCAUUAGUUGCUACGAAAGGGCACUCUAAUGAGACUGCCGGUGACAAGCCGGAGGAAGGUGGGGAUGACGUCAAGUCCUCAUGGCCCUUAUAGGUGGGGCUACACACGUCAUACAAUGGCUGGUACAGAGGGUUGCCAACCCGCGAGGGGGAGCCAAUCCCAUAAAACCAGUCGUAGUCCGGAUCGCAGUCUGCAACUCGACUGCGUGAAGUCGGAAUCGCUAGUAAUCGCGGAUCAGCAUGUCGCGGUGAAUACGUUCCCGGGUCUUGUACACACCGCCCGUCACACCAUGGGAGCGGGUUCUGCC